GGAGCUAUGAAAUAUCUGAGCUGAGCAAGUGAUGCACAAGGAGAUGGAAGCAGUCUGACCUUUACACAGUGACCUGGCUCAAAUAAUUUCAGGCUCUCAUUAAUCAGGCGAGCUCCACUUUCUCUCUGAGCUGCAAACAAGGCCACUGAAUGUCACACCAAGAGGCCAGCAUGUCUGUGAAGGGCAGAAACUGGAGCAGCCAAACAGCUGGAAGAGGCCAGCUAGAAUGAGGGAUGGGGAGAUUUGAUGGUGUCCUGUACAGGUUAGAUGUUAAUCUGAUGUGGUGCUCUUGGAGAAGCUUGCCUGAGUUAGGCACUUUCUCAGCACGUGGUGUGUGCUGCCCCUUCAAGCUGCAGGAGUCCCAGAAGAGGCCCUGCCUGGCUGCUGGGACUGCCCUGAGACUGCCUUCUCCUCCUCUUACCUCCACAGCUCUCCCGGCUUCUAUCCACAGCUGUGCUUCAGGUAAACAACCAGGGGCCUCCAGGGGUAGAGAACAUACCCAGACAGGUUCUGCUGCCUGUAGGCUUGACGUCCUUCCCCCACAACACGCCAUGCUUGCCAGGCUGGAAGACGGGCUCCGGAAACUCCGGAAACUCGGGAAACCUGGGCCUGUAGCUGGCAUGUGGAAAAGAGGCCUGGAAAAGCACCACUCCUGUCCAUGAAGCCCCACAUGGAACCAG
rnacentral:lncRNA from 1 species